CCCGCAGGAUCUUCUUCGCCGGCGCCGGGGACUUUUUCUCCGGCGCCCGCUCGGGGGUCUUCACCGGCACUUUGCGGGUGUUGAACCCCGGGGCCGUGAGGGUCGUAGAGGCCGCGACGUUGAGUGUGUCUUCACUGGCUCGCUCCCAUCCAUUCGACUAGGAGGGGACUGCUAUGGAUUUUUGCGGACACUUUGUGCAUCAGGUUGUUGCGGUAGUUCUAUCCUCCAUCGAGGGAUUCGUGCUCUGACACCACUGAAGUGUCCCUUCUCAGCAUCUGUGCAUCAGUUUGGUAAAUCAUUGAAAAUGCCACCACGUACGAAACAGCUUGCUCGGCGCAAGUCGUUGAGGUCUGCUUCUAAGGAAUCCUCUUCUUAUGGUCAGAUGAGUUUGAAAAAGGCCAAGCAGAUUAAGCCACCUCCUACACGCAGAGUGGAUCUUCAGUUUUCUUCACUCCGUUUUUGGAAAGUUGUUGCUAAUCUUGAUAUUGAGCAGAAGAAAAUCAUCUCCAAAUAUGAUUUUCAAAAUAUACUGCCAGUUUCAAGGUUCAAGGUCCCCGAUUGUUUCUUGGAAUGGCUAAUGAGUCACACUUGUCCUUUAUCAUCUGAAAUCAUUGUUGGAGGUAAUCAUAUUACCAUUACCAAGUCCAUGGUGACCAAGGUUCUUGGAAUUCCUCAAGGUAGUGAACCUGUUGUUACACAGAGCAAGU